GCCGGAGUGGCGGAAUGGUAUACGCGGUGGACUCAAAAUCCACUGUCCGAAAGGUCUUGAGAGUUCAAAUCUCUCCUCCGGCA
rnacentral:tRNA from 4 species